UGGGGGAUUUUGGACAAUGGGGGAAACCCUGAUCCAGCCAUCCCGCGUGUGCGAUGAAGGCCUUCGGGUUGUAAAGCACUUUUGGCAGGAAAGAAACGUCAUGGGUUAAUACCCCGUGAAACUGACGGUACCUGCAGAAUAAGCACCGGCUAACUACGUGCCAGCAGCCGCGGUAAUACGUAGGGUGCAAGCGUUAAUCGGAAUUACUGGGCGUAAAGCGUGCGCAGGCAGUUCGGAAAGAAAGAUGUGAAAUCCCAGAGCUCAACUUUGGAACUGCAUUUUUAACUACCGGGCUAGAGUGUGUCAGAGGGAGGUGGAAUUCCGCGUGUAGCAGUGAAAUGCGUAGAUAUGCGGAGGAACACCGAUGGCGAAGGCAGCCUCCUGGGAUAACACUGACGCUCAUGCACGAAAGCGUGGGGAGCAAACAGG
rnacentral:rRNA from 1 species